UUUCUUAGGUCAUAUUAAUGUAGGCCCUUUAUGAUUGAUAAAUGAUAUUUGCACAACACUGUAUGCUAGAAACUCUAUUUGGUACUACGGACUAUAAUAGACAAUUAGCAGGAAACCUAAGAGUUAAUAUAUCUAUCUUUUAACUUAAGUGGGAUCCUCAGAGACUAUACGUGUUGCAACUUAAAAGUUGAAGAAAUAGUCCUUUAACAUAGUGAUAUGUUA
rnacentral:ncRNA from 1 species